GAUGGUCGAGAGUUACAUGGAUAACUGUGGAAAUCCUACAGCUAAUACACGCGUCAAGACCCGACUUAGAGGAAGGGUUGUGCUUACUAUUUCCCGAACCAACCCAGGCCAUUCGCCUGGGCCCUCGGUGAGUCACAGUAACUGAACGAAUCGUGUGGCCUUCGGCCGACGAUGAAUCAUUCAAGUUUCUGACCUAUCAGCUUCCGAUGGUAGGGUAUUGGCCUACCAUGGCAAUGACGGGUAACGGAGAAUUAGGGUUCGAUUUCGGAGAGGGAGCCUGAGAAACGGCUACCACAUCUAAGGAAGGCAGCGGGCGCGCAAAUUACCCAAUCCUGACACAGGGAGGUAGUGACAGGAAAUAACAGUACUUGGCCGCAAGGUCAUGUACUGGAAUGAGUGGCGCUUAUAUCCCGCUGCGAGUAUCGAUUGGAGGGCAAGUCUGGUGCCAGCAGCCGCGGUAAUUCCAGCUCCAACAGCGUAUAUUAAAGUUGUUGCGGUUAAAAAGCUCGUAGUCGGACUUCUGUCGAGGGUGGCUGGUCCAUCAUCUUGGUGUGAACCAGUCUGCCCUGGGCAUACUCUCGGAACGUGCGCGCGCACUUAAUUGUGUGGCGAUCGGUCCGAACGUUUACUUUGAGGAAAUUAGAGUGUUUCAAGCAGGCCUGUGCCUUGAAUACAUUAGCAUGGAAUAAUAAGCUAGGACCUCGGUUCAGCUUUGUUGGUUUCAGGGACCGCGGUAAUGAUUAACAGGAACUGUUGGGGGCAUUCGUAUUUAACUGUCAGAGGUGAAAUUCUUGGAUUUGUUAAAGACGGACCACUGCGAAAGCAUCUGCCAAGGAUGUUUUCAUUGAUCAAGAACGAAAGUUAGGGGAUCGAAGACGAUCAGAUACCGUCCUAGUCCUAACCAUAAACUAUGCCGACUAGAGAUUGGAGGAGUUAUUCCAACGAUUCCUUCAGCACCUUAUGUGAAAACACAAGUCAUUGGGUU
rnacentral:rRNA from 1 species